UACGGGGGGGAGCAAGCGUUGUUCGGAAUUACUGGGCGUAAAGGGUGCGCAGGCCGCGCGGGCAGUCAAAUGUGUAAUUCAGGGGCUCAACCCCUGCACUGCGCUUGAUACUUCCGCGCUCGAGCUUUGGAGAGGAGUCUGGAAUUCUCGGUGUAGCAGUGAAAUGCGUGGAUAUCGAGAAGAACACUUAGGGCGUAGGCAAGACUCUGGACAAAUGCUGACGCUCAUGCACGAAGGCUAGGGUAGCGAACGGGG
rnacentral:rRNA from 1 species